UACAGAGGUCCCAAGCGUUGUUCGGAUUUAUUGGGCGUAAAGGGUGCGUAGGCGGUGGGGUAAGUUGGAUGUGAAAUCUUGGGGCUUAACCUCAAAAUUGCAUUCAAUACUGCUCCGCUCGAGUUCUGUAGAGGAGAUUGGAAUUUACGGUGUAGCAGUGAAAUGCGUAGAUAUCGUAAGGAACGCCAGUGGCGAAAGCGAAUCUCUGGGCAGCAACUGACGCUGAGGCACGAAGGCCAGGGGAGCAAACGGG
rnacentral:rRNA from 1 species